AAAGAUUUCUUCGGAAUGAAUUUGAUUUAGUUUAGUGGCGGACGGGUGAGUAACGCGUGAGUAACCUGCCUUCAAGAGGGGGAUAACAUUCUGAAAAGAAUGCUAAUACCGCAUGACAUAUUGGAACCACAUGGUUUUGAUAUCAAAGAUUUUAUCGCUUGAAGAUGGACUCGCGUCCGAUUAGUUAGUUGGUGAGGUAACGGCUAACCAAGACCGCGAUCGGUAGCCGGACUGAGAGGUUGAACGGCCACAUUGGGACUGAGACACGGCCCAGACUCC
rnacentral:rRNA from 1 species